GAUGAACGCUGGCGGCGUGCCUAAUACAUGCAAGUAGAACGCACAGUCUAUACCGUAGCUUGCUACACCAUAGACGCUGGGUUGCGAACGAGUGAGUAACGCGCAGCUAAUCUGACUGGUAGCGGGGGAUAAAUAUUGAACACAAUCGCUAAUAUAGCAUAAUCUUGAUUAUUGCAUGGUAAUUGAUUGAAUGAUGCUAUCGCAUCACUACCUCCUGGACCUGCGUUGUAUUAGCUAGUAGGUGAGGUAACGGCUUACCAAGGCAACGAUGCAUAGCCGACCUGAGAGGGUGAUCGGCCACACUGGAACUGAGACACGGUCCAGACUCCUACGGGAGGCAGCAGUAGGGAAUCUUCGGCAAUGGGCGAAAGUCUGACGGAGCAACGCCGCGUGAGUGAAGAAGGUCUUCGGAUCGUAAAGCUCUGUUGUUAGGGAAGAACAAGUGUGAGAGUGGAAAGGCCCCACUUGACGGGAAUCAUACCAGAAGCGACGGGUAACCAACGG
rnacentral:rRNA from 1 species